GGGUUGUGAGGUUAAGCGACUAAGCGUACACGGUGGAUGCCCUGGCAGUCAGAGGCGAUGAAGGACGUGCUAAUCUGCGAUAAGCGUCGGUAAGGUGAUAUGAACCGUUAUAACCGGCGAUUUCCGAAUGGGGAAACCCAGUGUGUUUCGACACACUAUCAUUAACUGAAUCCAUAGGUUAAUGAGGCGAACCGGGGGAACUGAAACAUCUAAGUACCCCGAGGAAAAGAAAUCAACCGAGAUUCCCCCAGUAGCGGCGAGCGAACGGGGAGCAGCCCAGAGCCUGAAUCAGUGUGUGUGUUAGUGGAAGCGUCUGGAAAGGCGCGCGAUACAGGGUGACAGCCCCGUACACAAAAAUGCACAUGCUGUGAGCUCGAUGAGUAGGGCGGGACACGUGGUAUCCUGUCUGAAUAUGGGGGGACCAUCCUCCAAGGCUAAAUACUCCUGACUGACCGAUAGUGAACCAGUACCGUGAGGGAAAGGCGAAAAGAACCCCGGCGAGGGGAGUGAAAAAGAACCUGAAACCGUGUACGUACAAGCAGUGGGAGCACGCUUAGGCGUGUGACUGCGUACCUUUUGUAUAAUGGGUCAGCGACUUAUAUUCUGUAGCAAGGUUAACCGAAUAGGGGAGCCGAAGGGAAACCGAGUCUUAACUGGGCGUUAAGUUGCAGGGUAUAGACCCGAAACCCGGUGAUCUAGCCAUGGGCAGGUUGAAGGUUGGAUAACACUAACUGGAGGACCGAACCGACUAAUGUUGAAAAAUUAGCGGAUGACUUGUGGCUGGGGGUGAAAGGCCAAUCAAACCGGGAGAUAGCUGGUUCUCCCCGAAAGCUAUUUAGGUAGCGCCUCGUGAAUUCAUCUCCGGGGGUAGAGCACUGUUUCGGCAAGGGGGUCAUCCCGACUUACCAACCCGAUGCAAACUGCGAAUACCGGAGAAUGUUAUCACGGGAGACACACGGCGGGUGCUAACGUCCGUCGUGAAGAGGGAAACAACCCAGACCGCCAGCUAAGGUCCCAAAGUCAUGGUUAAGUGGGAAACGAUGUGGGAAGGCCCAGACAGCCAGGAUGUUGGCUUAGAAGCAGCCAUCAUUUAAAGAAAGCGUAAUAGCUCACUGGUCGAGUCGGCCUGCGCGGAAGAUGUAACGGGGCUAAACCAUGCACCGAAGCUGCGGCAGCGACGCUGAUGCGUUGUUGGGUAGGGGAGCGUUCUGUAAGCCUGCGAAGGUGUGCUGUGAGGCAUGCUGGAGGUAUCAGAAGUGCGAAUGCUGACAUAAGUAACGAUAAAGCGGGUGAAAAGCCCGCUCGCCGGAAGACCAAGGGUUCCUGUCCAACGUUAAUCGGGGCAGGGUGAGUCGACCCCUAAGGCGAGGCCGAAAGGCGUAGUCGAUGGGAAACAGGUUAAUAUUCCUGUACUUGGUGUUACUGCGAAGGGGGGACGGAGAAGGCUAUGUUGGCCGGGCGACGGUUGUCCCGGUUUAAGCGUGUAGGCUGGUUUUCCAGGCAAAUCCGGAAAAUCAAGGCUGAGGCGUGAUGACGAGGCACUACGGUGCUGAAGCAACAAAUGCCCUGCUUCCAGGAAAAGCCUCUAAGCAUCAGGUAACAUCAAAUCGUACCCCAAACCGACACAGGUGGUCAGGUAGAGAAUACCAAGGCGCUUGAGAGAACUCGGGUGAAGGAACUAGGCAAAAUGGUGCCGUAACUUCGGGAGAAGGCACGCUGAUAUGUAGGUGAAGUCCCUCGCGGAUGGAGCUGAAAUCAGUCGAAGAUACCAGCUGGCUGCAACUGUUUAUUAAAAACACAGCACUGUGCAAACACGAAAGUGGACGUAUACGGUGUGACGCCUGCCCGGUGCCGGAAGGUUAAUUGAUGGGGUCAGCGCAAGCGAAGCUCUUGAUCGAAGCCCCGGUAAACGGCGGCCGUAACUAUAACGGUCCUAAGGUAGCGAAAUUCCUUGUCGGGUAAGUUCCGACCUGCACGAAUGGCGUAAUGAUGGCCAGGCUGUCUCCACCCGAGACUCAGUGAAAUUGAACUCGCUGUGAAGAUGCAGUGUACCCGCGGCAAGACGGAAAGACCCCGUGAACCUUUACUAUAGCUUGACACUGAACAUUGAGCCUUGAUGUGUAGGAUAGGUGGGAGGCUUUGAAGUGUGGACGCCAGUCUGCAUGGAGCCGACCUUGAAAUACCACCCUUUAAUGUUUGAUGUUCUAACGUGGACCCGUGAUCCGGGUUGCGGACAGUGUCUGGUGGGUAGUUUGACUGGGGCGGUCUCCUCCUAAAGAGUAACGGAGGAGCACGAAGGUUGGCUAAUCCUGGUCGGACAUCAGGAGGUUAGUGCAAUGGCAUAAGCCAGCUUGACUGCGAGCGUGACGGCGCGAGCAGGUGCGAAAGCAGGUCAUAGUGAUCCGGUGGUUCUGAAUGGAAGGGCCAUCGCUCAACGGAUAAAAGGUACUCCGGGGAUAACAGGCUGAUACCGCCCAAGAGUUCAUAUCGACGGCGGUGUUUGGCACCUCGAUGUCGGCUCAUCACAUCCUGGGGCUGAAGUAGGUCCCAAGGGUAUGGCUGUUCGCCAUUUAAAGUGGUACGCGAGCUGGGUUUAGAACGUCGUGAGACAGUUCGGUCCCUAUCUGCCGUGGGCGCUGGAGAACUGAGGGGGGCUGCUCCUAGUACGAGAGGACCGGAGUGGACGCAUCACUGGUGUUCGGGUUGUCAUGCCAAUGGCACUGCCCGGUAGCUAAAUGCGGAAGAGAUAAGUGCUGAAAGCAUCUAAGCACGAAACUUGCCCCGAGAUGAGUUCUCCCUGACUCCUUGAGAGUCCUGAAGGAACGUUGAAGACGACGACGUUGAUAGGCCGGGUGUGUAAGCGCAGCGAUGCGUUGAGCUAACCGGUACUAAUGAACCGUGAGGCUUAACCUUACAACGCCGAAGGUGUUU
rnacentral:rRNA from 1 species